rnacentral:rRNA from 1 species
UACGAAGGGUGCAAGCGUUAAUCGGAAUUACUGAGCGUAAAGGGUGCGUAGGCGGUUAGUUAAGUCUGUUGUGAAAUCCCCGGGCUCAACCUGGGAAUGGCGAUGGUGACUGCAAGGCUAGAGUUUGGCAGAGGGGGGUAGAAUUCCACGUGUAGCAGUGAAAUGCGUAGAUAUGUGGAGGAACACCGAUGGCGAAGGCAGCCCCCUGGGUCAAAACUGACGCUCAUGCACGAAAGCGUGGGGAGCGAACAGG